GCAUUCUUUAAUCAGUAUUUGGUUUCUUGAAUUUCUUUUAUUGGUAGUUAACUGUGUAAUGGUCUCAGUGGAACAUCUGGUCCAUGAUUUCAGAGGAAUAUUCUUCAACCCUCGCUGAAAGCAAUUAUUUUUGGAUACGAGUGGAGGCUUUGGAGCCAUUAAGAAGAUAAAAUGCAGAUUGUUUGCAGAGGAUUUUUUAUAACUGUAAUGGCUCUCAAAAAGAGGAUCGCUGGUUACUUUUUCCUCUAUGCUAUCAGGCAGACAGCAGAGACUGAGCAAAGUGGUAAGGGACUGAACCUAAGGCAGUGGGCUGUGACCCAUGCCAAGCAAUAGCUCAUCUACCCAUCUCCAUAAGCCACUGAGGUCUGGGACUUCUUACAGAAGGAUUUAAAAGCACAUCAGCAGAUGGGACAACUGUUGUUUUCAAAGCAGAAAAUGAAGGGCUUUACUUUUUCCACCACUGAUGGGUGAAUCACAAACCUCCCAACUCCCAGCCUCAUCCCAGUUCAUGCAGAGCACAGAAUAAAGCUUUCAGCCUCUGCUCUUUGCACAUGGCAGGCUGUGGUGACAGCUGGGAAACCUUCAUUCCAAAGCAAAUGUGUUUUCCAAAGAAAAGCAUUAAUCUAUCAGGAGGAAAUCAGUUGUCUUGUGAGUUAGGUGUGGUUUUUGCACUGUGUCCUCCAUGGAGGUUGCUGGCUGAUUCCUCUUUGUCUGCAAAAACAGUGCUUUAAAUUAUUUAGAGGAAACUAUACAAUCUUGGCUGCUGCGCGCUAUUACGAUUGCACAUCUUGUCCCAGUGAAAACCACGUGCAGACAGGCUGUAAAGUCAUGGCUGUUUUGUAGUAGGGAGACAAACUGAAGCUGUUAAACCAGCAGAGACGUUAGGUCAUGGCCUGAAGCGGUGAUGGAGCACCUGGUGGGAAGACAGGGCCAACCCAGGGGAGCUCAGGUGCGUGCAAUGAACCUGAAUGACCAGAAGGGCAGCAGCCAGGAUCCACUCCUUCUCAGCCCUCAUUUAAGGGUUAGCAGUGGAGGUGAGGGCACCUUAUCUGGAGGUCCUUGAGUACCUGAGGCCUUUCAAAGCAGUAUACGCUGGCUGCAAAGCUGGCCAUACAGAGGAAAGCCUCAAGAUGCCAUACUCAGACGGCCCCAUGGCAAUACAGUUGUGACUCUUCUGCUUAUAUAGGAUUUGCUGCAUCUCAAUGAAUUUACCUUGUAGUCCUGCAGAGAGCCCAUUGCAAAGUGAGGAGGGAAACCUGGGAACAGCAGCAGCAUGUAGAUAAGGUAGAAAGAGACAAAGGAAUCCCAGUAUUGUGAAUUAUCUGU